rnacentral:rRNA from 1 species
CAGGAUGAACGCUGGCGGCGUGCCUAAUACAUGCAAGUCGAGCGAACAGAUAAGGAGCUUGCUCCUUUGACGUUAGCGGCGGACGGGUGAGUAACACGUGGGUAACCUACCUAUAAGACUGGGAUAACUUCGGGAAACCGGAGCUAAUACCGGAUAACAUUUGGAACCGCAUGGUUCUAAAGUGAAAGAUGGUUUUGCUAUCACUUAUAGAUGGACCCGCGCCGUAUUAGCUAGUUGGUAAGGUAACGGCUUACCAAGGCGACGAUACGUAGCCGACCUGAGAGGGUGAUCGGCCACACUGGAACUGAGACACGGUCCAGACUCCUACGGGAGGCAGCAGUAGGGAAUCUUCCGCAAUGGGCGAAAGCCUGACGGAGCAACGCCGCGUGAGUGAUGAAGGGUUUCGGCUCGUAAAACUCUGUUAUUAGGGAAGAACAAAUGUGUAAGUAACUGUGCACGUCUUGACGGUACCUAAUCAGAAAGCCACGGCUAACUACGUGCCAGCAGCCGCGGUAAUACGUAGGUGGCAAGCGUUAUCCGGAAUUAUUGGGCGUAAAGCGCGCGUAGGCGGUUUCUUAAGUCUGAUGUGAAAGCCCACGGCUCAACCGUGGAGGGUCAUUGGAAACUGGGAAACUUGAGUGCAGAAGAGGAAAGUGGAAUUCCAUGU